CCGCGCGGGUGUUGGGAGCUAGGGGCGGCGGAGCGGGGCGGAGGUGGCCGGCCUGGCGGUGGUUUGGCAGGGGGGAAGCGCCUAGGUCAGCCCCAGCAUCCCCACGAGUGCACGACCUCGGGCGCCGACUACGGCUUCGGGCGCCGACUAUGCCCCGCUGGGCGGGCUUCCGCGAGUCCUGGCAGGUCUGGAUGUCCAGGGCUUGGAAACACAGAAGCUGAGGGACAGAAAGGCCAGGCUAUGGCUCAUAGGCGGCAGAGCCCGGAUUCAGUCAUCAUCUGGCUCCAGCUAAGUACUCAGUGUAGAGCCCUACACAAAUAUCAUCUGGAGAGAGAAACGUUCAAGGAGAGAAAGAAGAUAGAUGAAUUAAAGAAUGUUAAUAAAAGCUAUUGAAUUAUGUGUCGUUUCUGCUCAGAAUAAUGGGCUCAGGAAGUCUCAUCAGAAUAUUUAGAGAAUUUCUCAGUGCAAAAUGGAACUUGGCAACCUAAUGUCAGUCCACAUUUUCAUGUACUAAUCAUUCAUUUAUUGUUCUUUGACAUGCAAAAGGUUAGGAGCCCUUGUUAUGGACGGUUACAUUUAAGCUGAGGUUAGAAGAGAGAGAUGCUCGUAUAUAUGGACGUUCCUGCCACUUGCCUGCCAGUGAUUUAACCACAUCUGUGUUAAGGGUAAAUUAAUUUGCAAGAAAGAAAAAAUAUAUGCUUGCUUUUUAAGACUGGUUUUGAAUGUUUUUCUCGCAUGUGUCUUGGGGAGUGGGUGGAGGAGGUGGAUGUAAGAGACACCUGUGCCCACAGUGGUGCAGAAUUUGGACUAUAGCUCUGGAAAGCUGCUGUUGCCAACAUGAGUGCUGGUUUUAGAAGCAUUUUCCCCCCACAUAAACUCUUAUGGAGUUUAGAUAAAAUUAGGCUUGACAAAUGAAAACUUGAACCUUUGUAUAUCCAGGCCCCUUCCACCCCCAUUUUUCACAAGGGGACAGGAGAAAGAGUGAGUCUGUGUGUCUAAGCAGAUCAGUGGUAAUAGAGUCUUUAAUGCUCCACAUUGAAGGCCGGCUGCGUCCUGGAUCCCUCAUUCAUCUCACCUACAGUAGCAAAGCUUUUCAUCUAUUUGCAAAUGGAUGCCUCUCAGGAGUAGAGCUGUAUCCAUAAUUUUAGGGAAUAUGUCAUCUUUGAAGAGGGAUUCAAGGAGAAUGACAAAGGUGGUAAAAGGACUGAAUAAUAUCAAAAGAUGUUUAAAAGACUGUAGGGAUUCCCUAUCUGAACUCUGGGCAGUGAUCUUACAGGAGCUUAUCUGCCCUGCGUUCCUCCCAGCAUAAGUACUUUAAGAAAUGAUCAAAGAUUUUCUUGAAAACUUGCUAGACAAUGCUUGUAAAUAACAGACUCUCUUUCUACUCUGCCUUGGAUGGCAAUCCCUGUGUAUGGUAAAGUAAGAGGCUCUGAAGUCAGAGGAUUCAAAUUCUUGCUCGACCCCUUACUACUGUCAACUCACAACCUUGCCUCAGUUUCCUCCUCUCUGCAAUGGGAAUAAUAGUUCCUACUCCAUAGGGCUGUUGUAAAUAGAAGUAAUAAGCAUGUAAUAAACACAAACUACUGCUAUUCAUAUAUUUUAAUUUUUAUUAUUGCUGUUUCUUUCUGGGAGGAAAGCCUCUCUCCUGCCCCUUUUCUCGUCUACUGUGCGCUGUCUUCCCUCUUUGAGUCUAGAGGGUCCUGAUUCAAAUGAACAUAUGUACUAGUUGAUUCUUUCAGCUUCCUUGAAACUAAAGCAUCUGCACAUGAACAACAAAAAAAUACUCUAAUGUUUAUAGGGCAGAUCAUUUAUUUUGGUUAACUAUCAUAUAUUUAAGCAAAUUAAUCAAAAUUUUAUAUGACAAUAUUUCUAUUCAAAAUCAUGUAGAGAAAAAAUGCAAAGUAUUUAAGCAAAUUAUACAUUCUGUUAACAAUCUGCAGACUUCUCUCUCCCCACAACCUUUAACAACUCAGCAAUGGAAAUGUUGGGAGGAGAUAAGCACACCAGUGAAGAUGAGAUGAUGGAAUAUUCUAUGUCCUUCCUAGUUCCUGCUUUGCAAAAAAAGAGAAAGAGAUACAUGGCCUUGAGGAGUAGAAUCAUGACCUGAUCUGGCACACAGGUUGUGCCUUGAACCUGUCUGCCCUGAAAUGACUGGCUAAGCUGUUGGAGGUUGAGAUAGAGGAGCUAAAAAGGCCCUGUUUAUUCACACACUCCCGAGCAACACAUUUUGUGAUUAAAUUAAAAGGGAGUAAGGGGGUUACAUCUCCUUCUUAGAAAUGUUGAAUUGACCUAAGCUUGAAGAGCACUAUUUUGAAUCAUUAAUUCAUUCAACCAAUAAUCAUUGGACACCCAAUGCAUCCAGGCAAUGUUCUGGACCCUGGAGAUCAAACAGGACCAAGUCCGUGUUCUCAUGGAACUUGUGAUCUAGUGGGAAAACAAUACAGAAAAAACUCCACAGAAAUUCACAGCAGAGCCAGUUGUCUCAAGACAUAGAAGCGCCCUGAGGGUGGGCUUGGUGGCUUAUGCGCCGUAUUCACUAUGCUUAAUAUUCACUCAAGAGACCUAGGGCUGUGUUUUUGUGUCCUUAUACUAAUUACCAAAGCCGUUACUUCCAGUUAAAGCUGUGAAUAUUUCUGACCUCUCAAAAAUGAUUCACAUGGCUUUGGAGAUCUAUUUUUGUCCCACUUUCUCAAGUUCAUGUCCUUUUUCAUAACCAACUGGGAAAAUACUGCCCUGUCAUAAGUGUAAUAGUAUAAGAUCCAUGAUACUUGAGCUAUUGUGAUACUGACAUGAUGAGAAGCAAAACUUUGAUUUACCUAACGUAAAUUUAUGCUCUAAAAUUGCAGUUACCUACCUAGGGUUUUACUCUUCUUUUUUUUUUUUUUGGUAUGCCUUCUUACAUUUCAGUGUAAAUUUUAAUGAGUCAAAAAUCUUGGCUGAGGCCAAAACAUGGAUUAUAUUACAGGUGCUGGUAAAGCCAUGAGAAUGACCUUCAGAUGGCUUGUGGUCUGUGAGGGAGGGUUGGUUUUAACCUUAACCUCCGCUACAACCCGUAUGAAAAACGUGGUAAAUCAAGCCAGGGCAUGCUAGGUGUUGCAUUUCAGCUACGGAGUGAUAUCUAAUACCAAGUCAACUUCUGUUUUUAACUCUGGGUGUACUGUAUUAAGUUAGGGACAAAUCUUCCCUCAAAUAUCCCCUACAGGUUAUUGAUUAAUUUUACUGGGAAAAAAAUGGUACCUUUACAAUGGGCAGAUACCAUCACCAAUGAAUCUAACAUCAUCGUUAAAUGUGGUUAUUGACUGGCAUUAUGUUCUCCCUGAGGAGAAGCCAUGGGAAGUGCACAGCAUCAUCUAGGUAAUAUUCUGACCAAAGAAUGUAUAAUCUGAUCAUGAGGAAAUAAGCAGACGAAUACAGAUUGUGGGUUAUUCUGCAAAGCAACUGGCUUGGAUUCUUUAAGAAGGUCAAUUCUGUGAAAGACAGUCGAACAGACAAAAAAGUUGGAGGAGUGCUCCAAAUUAAAAGAGAUGAAACAGACAUGGCAGCUGAGUGAUGGGGUUCUAGAUCCAAAAUUGAAGAAAAGCAGAGUAUAGAGGGGAAGCAAGGGGAGGAAGGAGGAAAAUAUCUAUAAAGGACGUUUGGGGGAAAGUUGGAGUAAUUUGAAUAUAGUCUUGUUAUUAGAUACUCUUUUGUAUUGGUGUUAAAUUCCUUGAAUCUGAUCAUUAUGAAGGAGAAAGUCUUUGUUCUUAGGAGGUACAUGCUGAAAUAUUUUAGGUGUGAAAUGUCAUGAGGUCUCUAACUUACAAAUGGUUCAAGACAAAAGUAAACAUAUGGAGAGAGAGAAAGAGAGAAGGAAAUGAAUGUGGUGAAAUGUUCAUUGGUAAAUUUAGUUGAAGGGAAUGGUGUUCAUUCUGUUCAAUUUAUCUAUAGGUUGCAAAAUUUUCAGAAUAAAAAUGGAGAGACAAGGAAAGUCUAUGUGAGGGAAAUUAUUAUAGAAAUCUGGAAUGAAAGCAAAAAGACGUAAGGAAACACAUGGAUACAACUUAGGUGUGACACUUGAGAGAAGUAAAGCCCAGGACGAUAGAAGGAACUCUGGUGUGGGAAUCACUGAGGUUAUGUUCUUGUGUGUCCUCUGCCAUGACCAGCCAUGUGAUCGUGGGCCAUUUGGCUAAACUCUCUGUAUUCAUUUCCUAUGGCUGUUGUAACAAGGUACCACAAACUGUGUGGCUUAAAGCAACAGAAAUGUAUCGUUCUCACAGUUCUGGAGGUCAGAAGUCCAAAAUCGAGGUGUCGGCAUGGCCAUGCUCCCGCCGAAAGCUUUGGGGAGAAUCCUUCCUUGCCUCUUCCUCACAUCGGGGGUUUGCCAGCAACCCUCAGUGCUCCCCGGCUUGCAGCUGCAGUACUUCAAUCUCUCGCUGUCUUCACAGGGCCUUCUCCCAUGAAUCUUUUCUUCUGUGAUGACAGCAGUUAUAUUGGAUUAGGGUCUACCUUAAUGACCUCAUCUUAAACUUGAUUACAGCUGCAAAGACCAUAUUUCCAAAUAGGGUUUCAUUCACAGGUAGUGGACUUUGACAGACCUUUUUAGGGGACACAAUUCAAUCAAUAACACUCUGCACCUUUGUUUUUCCAAAUCACAAACAAGCUUGGGGGAUGCUGUGGAGCUGGUGAGCCAAAAUGGAGUCUGAAGUCCCUUUCUCAGAAAGUCUAUUCUGUGUGUCCAUCCUUCUGACAAAUAAAAAUGGCAAGCAAUAGGAUGUAUUGGAGUAUAUGAGGAAGCCAUUUGGUGUAAACCUAAUUCCGCCUGACCUUGUCUGUCCAAAAGCGCCUGACCGAGGCCUGUUGAGCAUGCAUUGUAUAUCUGCUUUAGAUAUUCCCUAUGGCAAGAACAAAGGCCCUUGAGAUAAAGGUGCA